rnacentral:rRNA from 1 species
UGAGGAAUCUUGCGCAAUGGGGGAAACCCUGACGCAGCAACGCCGCGUGAGUGAGGAAGGUCUUCGGGUCGUAAAGCUCUGUCAGGCGGGAAGAAAUGCAUGGAGGUGAACAGCCGCCAUGCUUGACGGUACCGCCAGAGGAAGCACCGGCUAACUCCGUGCCAGCAGCCGCGGUAAUACGGGGGGUGCAAGCGUUGUUCGGAAUCAUUGGGCGUAAAGAGCGUGUAGGCGGCUUGGUAAGUCAGAUGUGAAAGCCCUGGGCUCAACCCGGGAAGUGGAUUUGAAAAUGGCAGGCUCGAGUAGGGGAGAGGGAAGUGGAAUUCCUGGUGUAGAGGGGAAAUUCGUAGAUAUCAGGAGGAACACCGGUGGCGAAGGCGACUUCCUGGCCCUAUACUGACGCUGAGACGCGAGAGCGUGGGUAGCAAACAG